GUACAUUACUAAGAUACUAAAACAAAGACAACUUUUAUAACAACCUGUCCCUGUCUUCGACGUAAUAACACGACCCAGAACAGACGCAGCGCCGCUCACCCCCAGCGGCAGGGAAAAUUACAAACACACGCAACACAUAUCGAUCACCAACACCCUUCUUCCCCUCACCUCAUUGUGGUACAUGGCAUACACACUUUAUCGUGAUGGUUUUAUCGCACAUUAAAAUUAACUAGCGACAUAAAAAUUGUUACUGGAUGCACGAACAGCUAGCCAAUGAGUGUGGAGAAGUGACGUCACGGCCUACAGUGCAUGGCAACCCCUCUCAGCGAAGCGAUCUUCUCCGUUUUCCCUCUGUCUUACCUGCGUCCUGUACUAGAAAUGACUUUGCGUUCAUUGCAUUGACUUUAAAUGUUUAUGUGAUCCUAAAUUAUUCUUCGUCAUUAUCUAGUGGAGUUAGUGUUGCAGGCACAUUUUGGAUUGUCACUGUUUCCGGCACUCGAUUAGUCCACGACGAAUAUUUCUCAAUUCCUUCUUGCUCCUUCCAUCUUCGGUCAGUGUAUUCCAGCAUCCGGUGUUGGGUGGCCUGGUGCGGCUCGCUGUCUUGUGUUUGUGCUUGAUCGAUUUGUACAUGAUAAGUGUUAACAUUCCUUAGGUGCGUGUAAAUGUAAACCAAGACGCAGGAAAACCAAGAACUAGUAGAGAUAAGGAGAAGUGGUAGUGACAACAAUGAUAGACAAAUGACGGAGAAGCAACAGCAGGGACGUAACGCCAUGAGAGGGGCGACUGUGUUGUUUACGAGGAUUUAUGUGAAGCUUCGUUGAGUAAAUGGUUCAUCACUCGAUUAAACGUCGCAGAUGUUAAUAUAUCUUUUGUUUAAUACUUUCAUCCGUGUAGAUGCGUUUCCUCUCCAUAAAACAUAAUGAUCUGACAUGUUGCAGGAACGUAAGCGUCGGAAGGAGAGCUGGCAAUGAAUCGCGUGAAGAACCGAACCCCGUACCGCCGCCGCCCUCAUCUUGCCAGGGCCAAGCGUCAGCGGGGACGGCGGCAGCGCGGGCCUGUAAGGAAUUCUGUGAUGCGUGAUACUUCAGAAAUUGGCACGAGCGAUAGUGUGGGCGUGGGGAAAAGUUGAAAGGGAGGUUGAUGUGGAAGACUUAUGAGACGGAGGAGGAGGCGGCAGCGGCAGCGUCAUGUAAUGUGAUAUAUCGUCGUGUUGUUCCGUUCCACGAGUUUGUCAUCCUCUUGGUCCCGCUCAUCGUCGUCACCACUCGUCGGCACAGCCAGCUGAGGGUCGAGCAUGGCGCUGACCUCCUACGAGCGUGGCCGCAUGGGGGCGAGCCGGGUCACGGCGGUGGGCAGCGCGCACCCGCACCCCAACAGCUGGUGGACGGCGUACCACUGGGCGGUGCUGGGCCCUGCCUUGGCCGUCGUGGCUCUGGUCUUCGCUGUCGCCUACGUUGUCCGGAAGUGCGAACGGGCAAGGUAAGUCUUGAUGCUCUUUGUUUCGUACUCCCUGGUUGAGUCCACGGCCUCGGUGACAAAUUUUCCGAAGCCAGAUUAGUUUCACAGGAAGGUGAAGGUAGUUACUAAAUUGGGUACAUAUGGAGGCCACAAAUGACAACUCUCUAAGCACUUUGUGCAAAUAGUGAAGAAUAUCUGGCGAAGAGGUG